GUCCCGCGAACAUCCCGCACGGAACUGUAGGGAGCCUCCUUAAGGAGGCUCCCUACAGUUCCGUGCGGGAUGUUCGCGGGACAAGUACGU